AAGGAUGGCUUUCACGUUCUAAAUGGUGUCAGAUGGUUCGACUUCCAACGUAAUGGUCUUUCCAGUUAGAGUUUUGACAAAGAUCUGCAUACCACCACGGAGACGAA